GCAAACGAAAGUAACUUUCGACGACCGAAUGAUCAUUCAGACUCUGUUUCUAUUGAGAGAUAAAAGGUAUGACAAUUGGGUACUUUUUCUACAACUGUCUAUGAUGAUCGGAGAGACAGGAGGCAGACUAAGAGCAAGGACAGCCACCUGAACUACUGCCCUAGAAAUA